rnacentral:rRNA from 1 species
GAUGAACGCUGGCGGCGUGCCUAAUACAUGCAAGUCGAGCGAACGGACGAGAAGCUUGCUUCUCUGAUGUUAGCGGCGGACGGGUGAGUAACACGUGGAUAACCUACCUAUAAGACUGGGAUAACUUCGGGAAACCGUAGCUAAUACCGGAUAAUAUUUUGAACCGCAUGGUUCCAAAGUGAAAGACGGUCUUGCUGUCACUUAUAGAUGGAUCCGCGCUGCAUUAGCUAGUUGGUAAGGUAACGGCUUACCAAGGCAACGAUGCAUAGCCGACCUGAGAGGGUGAUCGGCCACCCGGGAACUGAGACACGGUCCAGACUCCUACGGGAGGCAGCAGUCGGGAAUCUUCCGCAAUGGGCGAAAGCCUGACGGAGCAACGCCGCGUGAGUGAUGAAGGUCUUCGGAUCGUAAAACUCUGUUAUUAGGGAAGAACAUAUGUGUAAGUAACUGUGCACAUCUUGACGGUACCUAAUCAGAAAGCCACGGCUAACUACGUG